rnacentral:misc_RNA from 1 species
GUUAAAUCCGUACAUUAUUAACCGUGCUCACCUAACAUUGUAACGUAGGAGAAAAUAAUAAGGAGGUCGAAAUAGAAAAUUAUUUUCUGUUGGAAACGAAUCGGUCGAGGAUGUCUUCUUUCCGAUAUCUUUCGAGCAAAAAUGCUGCUCUGGUUCUCAAAGGAUUAGAAUCUCUGCUCGAUCUGGAAGAGCUUUGUGAUGUAAUCCUUCGAACAGAAGAUGGUUUCUCGAUAUCGGCGCACCGCAAUGUUCUAUCCGUUGGCAGUCCAUACUUCAGGGCCAUGUUCUUGGGACAAUUAAAAGAGAGCAGAAAAGAAGAUAUUACUUUAAAAGGGGUCACUGGCGAAGCUCUUCGAUGCAUCAUUCGAUUUGUGUACACCUCUACAAUAAACGUGAAUGACGCUAAUGUUGAUGACAUUCUUAGUGCUUCGGACCUUUUCCAAAUGAAAGAGAUUACUAAUGUUUGUUGCCAGUUUCUUAAAGAGCAACUGCAGCCGUCAAAUUGCCUGGGAAUAGCAGCUGUUGCUGGUGGCUUUUCCUGCGAAGAGCUCUGGAGCGAAGCGCGCAAGUAUGCGGUAAAACACUUUAAUGAGGUGAUAAAAUGUGAUGAGUUUAAGGAUCUGUCGUUAGACGCAGUCAAGGAACUGCUAUCAGACGAAAAUGUGUGCAUUCGAUCAGAGGAAGAUGUUUAUAACGCAGCUGUUGAAUGGUUGUCGUGCUCUAGCGAUCGCUUGAAGCACUCGUCAGAAAUAUUAUGUUGUGUGCGGCUACCUGUUUUGUCUCCUGCAUUUCUCAGUUCUCAGGUGAUGAGUAAUGAGUGGGUUAUAAAUGAUCCUGAGUGCAAGCAGAUGCUGGAUGAAGCCCUCUCCUAUGCUUCCUCCCCUACUUCUGAAAAACGUAAGCACUCUUCAGCAGUGAGAAUGAGGCCACGAGUCCACUCAGGGUUUGCUGAUGUCAUGGUUGCCAUCGGCGGUCUACACCUUGGUAGCCCAGUGGCAUCAGGGGAAAGAUAUAAUAUGUACACUGAUGAGUGGUUUCCUAUUGAAGACAUGCCUACCCUACGGUAUGGUGUAGCUGUUACUCAGCUUCAUGGACAGAUAUAUUGUCUCGGAGGAUUUGAAAGUGGAAGGUACUUGAACACAGUUGAAGCUUACAACCCUGAAGAAAAUUCGUGGACAAUACACCCAUCAAUGCUUGUGUCCAGAAAAUACUUUGGUGCAACUUCCCUUAGUGGUAAAAUUUAUGUAUUUGGAGGCUCUAACAGCCAUCGUCGACUCAAAAGUGUGGAAUGCUUUGAUCCGUACGAGAAUCGAUGGACAUUUGUCUCACCCAUGCUGUGUCCAAGAAUGUACAUAGCAGUUGCAACACUGGGGGGAUUGGUGUAUGCGGUGGGAGGCCAUGAUGGCUUAUCGCGCCUUAGUAGUGUGGAAUGCUAUGACCCUCAGAGUGAUGAAUGGAGCUAUGUAGCUCCCUUAGGGACUGCUUCAUCGCUAAUUGAGUGAUUUCUUCUCUUGUCAUGGAUGCAAACCGGGACGCCAUUUUUUUCCCGAGUUGCUCGGAGGUAAGCCAAGAUCUGUAGCAGGUGUAGUAGCCCUAGGUGGCCUCCUGUAUGUUAUUGGUGGGUUUGAUGGGAACAAUU